UUAGGCAGGAAGCCAGGUGUCAAGUCAGGGUUUCCCACCUGUAAAGUCGAGAUAACAGCUGACUAGACACGAGUAGAGGUUCAUAUCGAGCUGUUAUCACUAGCACGUCUUAUACUACCUGUUUCCUUCAUAUCUGGUCUACCUGUGCAAGUAUUUCUGGUUGUCAAUAGCUCCAUCGUAGACACUACAAGUCUUGCUGACCAUUGUCUAUGGCGCUGACCAUGCCAGAGCUAACAAUUCAUCGGGACGGAUCGUCUUCGCCGACCACAGUCUGUCCAGGUCCAGAAGGUCGAGGUUUAGCAAAAGAAACCAUCAACAAUCAGCUGAUAUCGUUGCAGACCGAUGUCGAAGACAACCCUGAUGUAAAUAAAGCAAAGGAGUUCUAUCCUCCUGCCCCAGAACCUCACAGGGCUUCCAGCUUUGGCUACCUCAGUCCUACCUUCCCAGAGGAAAACAAGACCUCUGUCCACUGCUACAGUUCAGACGGGACAUCCGGUAAACAAACUCAGUCUUCUUACCUGAGCAGUUCUGCAGAUUCCUCAGGGUAUUUUGAUUUCAGUUCGCAGUCACCUUUAAAUGCGCGUUUGGACCCUCUACCCACUGUACCCGACAUCAAUCCCUACAACUAUCCAGACGAGGACUCCAUCAAGACUGAUGACAAAUGUUCCCGGAGUCGCAUCUGGAUUGUCGUCAUCGCCACAAGCAUCGCGCUCGUCGUUACAGUCUCCCUGAGUGCUUCACUACCAAUCGUCCUUAAAGAUUCAACAACGGAAGCCUUGGUGGGAGGAUUGACCCUUGACCUCGAGGGGCUCACCCUCGCCCAGGUGGACGAGGACGCGCGCUUUAGGUGCUCGGUGAAAAAUGUCGGCGCACUUGCCAGCGUCGUCUUCCUGUUCAACCAAACUGAGGUCGCAAGGUUUGAUGUGAGAAGUGAUGCAUCCACCAGCUCGACACACAGGUUCUCUCUUGAGAAUCGUAAGACCCCGAUGGGUACGAGCUCCUGCUGACGUUGACGAAUGUCACGUGUGGUGAUGCGGGUAGGUACACGUGUCUGGCCAGUAACGGCGGUGACGUCGUCGAGAGAUGGACGAGACUAAGUGUCAUGAAAUCUGCUGUCAGACCCGAGCUGGACAUCCCCAAACUUGUGGACGGAUUGCUCAAGACCCUAUCAUGUGUCGGGUAUCUUCCAUGGGGCAUAACUCUGUCUCAUCAAUUUCGUGGUUCGUGCGACCUUUGAACCUCAGCAUACCCCCAGAACAGCACCAAGACAC